CAGCAGCCGCGGUAAAACGUAGGUGGCAAGCGUUGUCCGGAAUUAUUGGGCGUAAAGGGCUCGCAGGCGGUUUCUUAAGUCUGAUGUGAAAGCCCCCGGCUCAACCGGGGAGGGUCAUUGGAAACUGGGAAACUUGAGUGCAGAAGAGGAGAGUGGAAUUCCACGUGUAGCGGUGAAAUGCGUAGAGAUGUGGAGGAACACCAGUGGCGAAGGCGACUCUCUGGUCUGUAACAGACGCUAAGGAGCGAAAGCGUGGGGAGCGAACAGGAUUAGAUACCCCUGUAGUCCCUGUCUCUUAUAC
rnacentral:rRNA from 1 species